GGACUACCAGGGUUUCUAAUCCUGUUUGCUCCCCUAGCUUUCGUCCCUCAGCGUCAGUUGUGAUCCAGCGAGCCGCUUUCGCCUCGGAUGUUCCUACGGAUAUCUACGCAUUUCACCGCUACACCCGUAAUUCCACUCGCCUCUCUCACACUCUAGCACAGCAGUUUCGGCAGCAGUCUCUGGGUUAAGCCCAGAGGUUUCACUACCGACUUGCCACACCGCCUACGGACCCUUUACGCCCAGUAAUUCCGAGCAACGCUGGCCCCCUACGUUUUACCGCGGCGGCUGGCAC
rnacentral:rRNA from 1 species